rnacentral:misc_RNA from 1 species
AAGUCGUAACAAGGUUUCCGUAGGUGAACCUGCGGAAGGAUCAUUACAAAAGUUAUGGGUAUGGACUCACCCCCAACCGGGGUCGAGACCUACCUUUACAACUUUCAACCACUUGUGAACUUGUAAUUUGUCUUCAGCUAGAGUUUACUCUGACUGGAGUCAUUAUUCACCAAUUGUCUGUUAACGAAGUCUGACUUUAACUAUCAGUGUUUAAAGACACUAGUAAUUAAAAACAACUUUUGGCAACGGAUCUCUUGGCUCUC